GGUGUGGCUUAGUGGGAGAACAUCUGCAUUGCAUGCAGAAGGUUGCAGGUUCAAUCCCUGACAUCGCCA